GGGCCCGCACAAGCGGUGGAGCAUGUGGUUUAAUUCGACGCAACGCGAAGAACCUUACCAAGGCUUGACAUCCUACGGAUCAUGAGGAAACUCAGGAGUGCCCUUCGGGGAGCGUAGAGACAGGUGGUGCAUGGUUGUCGUCAGCUCGUGUCGUGAGAUGUUGGGUUAAGUCCCGCAACGAGCGCAACCCCUGUGUUUAGUUGCUAACGCGUAGAGGCGAGCACUCUAGACAGACUGCCGGUGAUAAACCGGAGGAAGGUGGGGAUGACGUCAAAUCAUCAUGCCCCUUAUGUCUUGGGCUACACACGUGCUACAAUGGCCAGUACAGACGGACGCGAAGCCGCGAGGUGAAGCAAAUCCGAGAAAGCUGGUCUCAGUUCGGAUUGCAGGCUGCAACUCGCCUGCAUGAAGUCGGAAUCGCUAGUAAUCGCAGGUCAGCAUACUGCGGUGAAUACGUUCCCGGGCCUU
rnacentral:rRNA from 1 species